rnacentral:lncRNA from 1 species
CUUAUUGUCAGUGGGAAAAGGUUCCAGAGUUCAAGAGUCACGACUUGUCGCUGUUCUUCGAGGAUUGUGGGUGGGAUUUGGUUGAGAGAAUAAAGAAUUGCAGGCUGUCGGAUUGUAGGUGGCAUCUGGGACCGCAAAUCCCUGGAGAAAUGUCUGAAAGGUAGGCCCUUUUAACCAUUUUUAAUGUGUUUUUCACAUUUGUAAGUAAAAACUUGUUUGUUUGUUUUUUUGCAUUUACCCUUUCAAGAAUUAUUUUGGCUUACAUAAUUUGAGGCACGAAUGUGGUCCAACUCUAGCUUUUGUGUAUAUAGUCUUGCUUUGUUUUUAAAUUAUUUUGGAUUACAUAAUUUGAGGCAUGGAUGUGGUCUAACGUUGUUGUACAAUCUCACUCCAUGUUAUUGAUAUCGGCUCACAUUUCUUUUUCGUCUGUUCUAUCGAUAGUCUGAAAAUAUGGCAGAUCCAAAUAGUUUGAAAAUAUAACCCGUCUGUCAUCGACUUCCUUGAAUUCUGAUUUGCGGUAAAAUCUGAAUUAACAAAGCCAACUAACAAACCAUCUUUAUUAGCUACAGAUUUCUUGAAAAUAAUGUCCACUUCAACAUUUCCUUUCAGAUACCUCAAAAUCCAUUUUAGUGCAUUCCAGUGCAGCUUUCUAAGUUCAACCAUGUAUCUGCUAACCACACUUAUUAAGUGUGCAAGAUUUGGUCUUGUACAGACCAUAGUGUACAUGACACUUCCCACUAUGUUUGCAUAUGGAAUCUUCGAUCUCCAUCUCAUUUCUUUCUUCAUUAGUAAAGGGUUUUUAAUUAACAGACAAUUUAAAAUGUGUAGCUAAACGAACUGUAACUGACGUUGACUCGUUCAUAUGAUAUCUUCUUAGAACUUUGAGUAUAUACUCUCUCUGAUUUAGCCACAAACAACUCCGUUUUUUGUCUCUAAGAAUGUCCAUCCCAAGAAUCAUUCUUACACAGUGUUGUUUGUUGGCCCAAUAGCCCAAUAAGCCAAUCCUCUAUCUUGUAUUUGGCAGCUCCCAUUCUUUCCCAGUUCUUAAUUUUGUGCCCUAGCGGCGCACUUUUUUCCUUCUCUGCAACUUUCCUUUUGCAGCAACUUUCAAAUUUGAAGGAGCCCACUGUUGCAGUUGUAAAAGGGUCGAGUUAAUGAAAAGAGAGAUAGCUUUGUGUUCUUCCCUUUAUGCUUGCUGCAACUUUGUAUUUAUUUUGAUGAAGAAAUCUUUUGAAGAAUCUCCAAUUGAAGAAGAAGAAGAGAAUGUGUAUCUAGUCAUGAGUUCAUCUUCCAAUAUACGAUGCAACAUAUAUUAUGCUCCUUGAUAAGAGCCUAAACUAUCAAUUAUGUCCUAGAUAUGAGUAACAACUAUCUAAAAGAAUCAUCCAAGUUGAAGACUCCUUGACACGAGUAUAAAAUGUCCACAAAUUUAAAUUCAAGUGAAAUACUUCUUGACACGAAUAUAAAAUGUCUACAAAUUCAAAUUCAAUUGAAAGACUCCUUGACACGAGUAUAAAAUGUCUACAAAUUCAAAUUCAAAUGUACACUCCUAGACACGAGUAUAAAAGGUUUCCAAAUUCAAAGUCCCUAUCUAUUAUACUCCUUGACACGAGUAUAAAUGUCUACAAAUUCAAAUUGAAGACUUCUUGAUACGAGCAUAAACUAUCCAAAUUCAAAUUCAAAUUGAAAAACUCUUGAAUAUGAGUAUAAAUUAUUCACAAGUUUGAAUCCAAGAACUCCAUGAUAUGAGUAUAAACUGUCUAAUAAAUUCAAAAUUAUCGAGACUCGUUCAUUUCCACGACAAGUCGUCCAUGAACAAGUCACAAGGGGACAUUUGUAGGCACAUGAUUUUUACUAAAUAUUUAUUGAUUUUAUAUUUUAUUUAUUUUGGAAAUCUUAUUCAAUAUAUAUAUGAUAAAUUAUUGAUAAAGAUAUUACCAUAAGAUAGAGAUCAAUUUCUUUAGCAGCAAGUCAAAUCUUAAUAUUGAUAUAUAUCAAUCUUCAAGGGCCAAUAGGAUCGUGCCACGUCAGCCCUAGGCCAAUAAUCAUGUGGGCUCAAGGCCAAAGCCUGACUCUUCCUACAACUAUAAAUAGGGGUCUCCACGUCAGUUAUAAACACACAAAAUCAUAAUUCAAGAGCUCAAGAAUGGGAAAAGAAUUCUCUACAACGAAGUUCUCUCCAAUACUCAAGGUGUCCCAUCGAGAUUCAAGGCGUUCUUCACGAAAGCAGUUCAAAGCUCAAGUCAAGUCCAGCGUUCGAUCCGGAAACAAGGCGAGAGUCAUCCACGUAGGCGUUAUAAAGCUUGAAGCUCGGCACAUACUUUGGAAGCAAGCCGAAGCCCUCCACAUCGGCGUAUACUGAAUUUGGAAGCAAGGCGUAAUCCUCCACGUCGGCAUAUACUUUGGAAUUAAAGAUCAAGUCAAGCUCAACAUAUGUUUGGGAAACAUGAUGAAGUCCUCUACGUCAACGUUAUAAAGCUCGAAGCUCAACGUAUACUUGGAAACAAGUCAAAGUCUUCCAUGUCAAUGUUAAUUAUAAAGCUUGAAGAUGAAGUCCAAGAAGAUCGAGGGUAUAUUUUUCCAACAAAUCUCAAUGACUAACCAUCCAAGAAUCAACUUGAAAAGAAGAAUCAUAGGAACAAAUAGAGAUAACAAUCCACACAAAUACAUUUGAUCUAUAAAUAUUAUAUUUGUACGUAAUUUUGUAUUUAUUAAAUUAAAUACAUAAAUGUGUGUUUACAAAGGUUGAUUUGGAACUUGUAUUGACCCAGGAAACAUUAAUCUAUGUAUACUUUAGUUAUGAGUGUUUUGGAUAGUAUUUUCCUAAAAUUACAAAAUCAUAAUUUUAAAUGAUGUCCCAAAACCUAGUGCCCACCUACAAAAACAAACUUCAUAAUUUUGCACGAUUUUGUUCUGCAUUUUUGUGUUUGUGCAAUGGAUUUGGUCCAGUCUGCCAAAUAAUUGAUAAUUUAAUUUCUCAGAGGAAAGAACAGUUUUACAGAUUUUUGAGCUGUAUUUUUUUUUAUAUAUACAUAAUUUGUGUCGGAAAUGCAUUUUUUAUAAUAUACAUAUAGCUAGGUGAGGGCAAUGUUCAGUUCUAACUUUAUGUAUAUGAUAGUUAGGACAGAUAUCGGAUCAUUUUCUAUUGUUUGUCGGCUUUCCAGGUGGUUAAUAAACGUGUUAAGUUCUAAUUAGUUUAUUUCCUAUGAACCAUAUUGUAUUAAAUUAUCAUUUUAUUUUGUUUUAGUUGGAGACAAAAAGGCAAUUUGUUUGGAGAUAAAAUUCAAGCAUGUUUAUUUAGUCAGGUGAUGAAAAUUGGAAUUGACAUCAUAAUAUAUGAAAAAGAAGAAUACCAGUCUGAAUUAUAAUGAAAUAAACACCUUAAUUUUGCUUGAAAGACAAUGAAAAUUAUGAAAAUAAUCUUCUCAUUCAAUUCAAUAGCAUAUCGUGUACGUGCAACUUCAAUGUGAAGAAUCAAUAUUUUUUUUUCAAACGACGAGAGAAUCGAUGAUUAAAUAGGAGACUCAUAAUAUUUUGUUCAUAGGUAUGUUCAUCAUCUUGAUAUCUUGAAUAAGACGAUCGAAAUCCAGAGAGGAAGAGCCGCCCGGGCCCACGCUGGAGUGAGCCAGUUUGGCCAUGGCAUG